GGAAGUGAGAGAAGCCCCAGGCCCUGGGAUAGGAAGCCCCGGGCCUUCAUGUCCCUCCCUGUCACUUUUCCAGGUGCGGCGUCCCCUGUUCCCCGGGCCUGGCUCAAGCGCGACUGUGCCGCUGGCUGAGGAGGCGGAAGGGCUCGGUGCCACCCACUUAUUUGCCUCCACGUUGGCUCCUCUCCCUGCGGUCAGACCAUCGCUUCCCCUUCCCGGCCUCACCACCGAGCUCGAACCAUUCCGGGGCCCGUUGAAAUCUCAAGAUUGACUUGCUAGUGGAGCCGAACCUCAAGGCCUGUUGAUUUGUAACCCGCAUUCAAGACCCCGCUGCAUCAUUUGGUAGCCAUGAUACUUUGAGCCCCUGUGUUUUCAUCUGAAAAACAAGAAGCUGAGAAGUGAGGCAGAGAGGUUACGUAACUAGCCCAAGAUCACACAGCUGGAAGCUCAUCUUACCUGGAAAUGCCAAUUUGCACACACCCCAAUCUCUAAUUCCCACCAACAAGCAUCAGAGAAAGGGCUGCUUAUCAGGGAGGUAAACGGAAGGUAGUUUUGUUGCCAAUCAGCUUAAGAAAAGCGGGAGUUCAUCAAAUAUUCACUGAUGCGGGUAAUCCAGCCACGAACGAAUUCGGUUUUGGAAUUAGAAGUAGAGACACAGACGCAAGCAGUCAAGGUCUGAUCCCUCUGUAGCCUCGCGUAAAAGGACUUCCUUAGUCUGUUUGGGCCACUGAAACCAAAAUACCAGAGACCGGGUGGCUUAGAAACAACAACAACAACAACAAAAACCCACUUGUUUCUCACAGUUCUGGAAGCUGGAAAGUCCAAGAUCAGGGGACUGGCAGAUUCAGCGUCUAGUGAGGGUCUGUUCCUAGUUCAUAGACAGAAGGAACAGUGCAAAAGAUACACUAUGGUGAUGAUGAUCCUUUUGUGUGUGAGAGAAGGAGUCGUUUGCCCCAGGUCGUGGCUGGGGAGUGGAGCCCGGGAUUUGGACGGGGGUCUUUCUCUCCUCCCUCUGCCAGAAAGCCUCACAGAGCUUAGCUGUGUUUGUCUGAGGAUCGCCUGCUCUGUGCGCCAUGGCUCCCUCCUGGCUUUUGAUCGAAGGGCAGAGAAACAGGCUGGCAUUAUGUAGCAGCAUUUUUUUUUUUUUAUUAAAAUAACUUGUCUCCUGUUCACUGGUUUGCCCUUCCAUGGCUGGUUCCUCUGCUUCAGGCCUUCUCAGUGCCCAAAGGGCAUGUGAGUCCUCAUAUUGGCAGAGAAACACAGCAUCGAAUGAGCUGACCCAAGGAGAAAGGACUCCAAGGGACAAUCUUGCACUUGCUUGACCUGCCUCUGGUUCGCUCAUCUCUUACGUACACGGCUCGUUCUUCAGUUUUACAAAGGCUGCUCUAUAGCCAACCAGAGACAUAGGAGUUGUUUCCAGUAACUCAUCAUUGUAGAGAAGGUGGCAUGCUUCCGUGUUGGCCCGGGUCGAGUCAGGAGGCUAUACUUCUUCUACAUAAGGGAAGAAGAUUGGUUCUUCACACUCAGUGCUGAGUUCGGUGCCUCCAGCAAACGUUGAUCAAACGAAAGAGUGAAUGAAUGAGUGAAUGAAUGGACGCAUGCUCGGUGUGGUGCUCGGCUACCACUUGGGGGUAACACUCAGCUGUCAGGGAGGUAGACCAGGAAAGUUGCUGCUUCCUGCCUGCCUGAGUCUGUGGCAGCUCUGGAGAGGUCUGAUUUUUGAAAGUCAAGUAGGCACACUGCACAAUAGAGAGUAAUUAAAUCCUCUUGUUCUAUUAAUGAAGCAAAGUUUGUCCCAAUGUGUGCAAAGAAUGAAGGAGAGAAAAAAAAAAAAAAACAACGGUUUGAUUCUACAGAUCAGACCUCAUCAGAGUCACACUGAGGACAACUUUGAAAGUCUUUUAAGCACAUUGCCUCUCUAGAAAUCUGAGGAACCACAACCAUUUCCUCCUACUCAUUUGAUCCAGGGAAGAAAAGCUGUGCAAAGCAAGAGUGGCAGAGGAAAAUGGAUGAUGGGACAAGAGAAACCUGUACAGUAAGAAGAAAACAUCUGACCUAUCUUAUAGCUUCUUUAUGGAAGAGGGAGGUUGGGUUGCUCCAUCAUGGUGAAAGACAAAAAGCUUCAGGGAAGAUAGUUGACCUUUCCGUGCUGGGGGCUGAAUCCAGAUCUGAGUACUGUGGCCUGUUCCUGUGGAGGAGUCUCUACCAUGCAACACCUCACUAGUAUGGGGCACUGAGGAUGAUCUGAUAAGCUCUUUCAUCCAUUACCAAUGGAUGCCUUCCAGAAGAUCUCCACAGACAGAACACCUCAGCCAGUUAUGUGAACCCCCCUCCCCUGGUCUUCAUCAUUUACCCUAACACACUUUUACUGCCAGGAAUUCAUACUUCGUCAGUGGUCAUGGACGCUUCUGAUUUGGGGGGAGGCUUUGGGAGGGUUGGAAAGUGAAAGAGGAGAAUAGGGAGCCCUCAGAGUUUGGUUAUCUCUUGAAUUUUCAGCAGGAACCCCUGGUUGCCCACAGCCAGUAAUGGUGAGAAAAAGGCUGUGAAAACCAGAAACCUCCACCCCAGACCCUCCCCCAUCACUGACUAAUUGAUUAACCAAAGGUUCGUGAAGAGAAUGAUUUGAUGAGGGUAAUUUAUAGAGAUGGUAUCUUUUGUCAUCAUUUGUCUUUGAAAACAUAGAAGAAAACCGCUUUCAAGAGGACAUAGCCCGCCAACAUGAGCAAUGGUGGACGGAGCAUCAUCAGUUACAGCAGACUGCUCAAUUUUGUACCUUUUCAGCCAGUCAAAUAUCCAAUAACCACAAAGGGAGGGGGAACCCCCCUGCACACCUUCACUUUCUGUGUUUUAAACUUUUCCAGCGCUGGCUUAUGAAAAUAUUUGGGGUUGUUCACUGCUCUGCUCUCUGUAGCAUAAACAUUUAUUUAAAUGGGGCUGUCUCUAGUAAUGAAGAAUGAAGGAAAAACAAUGGUCUGAUUUUGACAAAUUAACUUGUGAUUUGGAGAGUCAGUGAAGCAGGGAAGAGACAUUCCUAACUAUACUAAUUAAAUGAGCUUGCAACAUUUAUUUUAAUGCAAUGGAACCAGCCAUAUGAAGAUGAACAUUUUAAUUUAUUUUGCAGUGACAUUAUGAAAAAUUUCACUGCUGCAGAUUAUCUACAAAAACAAAUCUCAUCAGCAUCUAGGUUUGUGCAGGAAAUUUCCAUCUUUCACAGGAGCCUGACCUUCCCCGGUGGAAGCAAGUGCGAAUGAGCUAAGUUACUUGAAAAGUUUUUCUGAAGGUUGUCUUUCCACUGAGGCUGGGCUUUAUGUUCAAAUGACUUCUGUGCCAAACACAUCCAUUUUUCAUGGUGUGGCGUAGAUGAAAAAUUCCGAAUCCAUUCUACGGGGAAUGCAAAUAUAGCUCAUUAGUUCUAAAACAUUUUUCAUGAAAGACUGCAGAGUAUUUGCCAGCAGAUGAGGCUGCAUAGUUCCAGCCAAGAAUGCACACCACAUGUCCCACUAAUUGUUUUUUAAAGUUGUUCCUUUCCUCUCUGGCACCCAGUAGCUAUUGAAAAUAGGAAACAAUAUGAAAAAUGGAGGGAGAGCCUAGCUUCCUUUGACAUUAUUUUGCAUUUGGUGUCUUGUCUUUUUUUUUUUUUUUCUCCUCCCUCUCUCUUUAUAUGCAGCCAUAUUCUAGAAGGGAAAGACAUGGUUUUGCGGAUGACUGAAGCAUUUCUGCUUUUCCUAGCGAUGAAUACAGCGCGCAUUGGCUGGAGAGUCAAACCGUUACCUGAAGGCGGGGUCUCUGGAGCUUUCUCCUUCCACACCAGCCAAGGAGAUGGUGGGCUGGCUGAUGCAGCAUCAGGCAGACAAAAUGGCCUCCUUCCAGAGAGGGAGUGGGUGGGCUGCUGGCUCCUGGCCAUCGCCUCAGCCAGCUUUAAGGAAGUCACACAGUCCAGGGAUGUCUUUCACACUGACAUUCCCAUUGGAGCCCUGCCAAGGAAUCUUGGAGGAGAGCAGACCACCUCCCUUUCUGAGCCAGCGCUGACCACUGGCUAUUGCUGGAGGCCUGGUGGGCACAACCCCCUUCUUGCUGGAGAACCCCAUCUCACCUGUUGUCUCCCACCUGGGGGGCCUGAGACAGUCUAGCUCGACCAUACUGAUCUGAGUAACUUUAGUUCCCCACGGGGCCUCACUAUGGCCUUGGUCUCUUUCCACCAACUCAGUACGUAGGCUGUGAAUGAGAAGAGGCCACACCCUGCUGGGUGUGGGCCAGUCUUCAGGGGUGGACUCAGUGCACACCCACACCCUUCAUGGGGUCUACAUUCACCAGCAGGGGCUGGUUUCUCCACCCUCCCAGCCUUGUUCCUAGCCUUGCCAGGGCCUCCCAGCCUGGCUCCUUGCACCAUCCCUCUGAACUCUUCCCUCUGCACUGAGCAUAGGAAGCAGUUGAGAUUGCAUUCCUCACCCCAACACAUCCACCGCCCUUGGCAUUUACAUGGCUGGUGGGAACACAGGUUCCCGAGGGUGGAUGGGGUCCACUUGGGUAAGAAAAGUUUGUUUUCUCCACUCUGACCAGAAUAACCUCAGCAGAGUCUCAAACCCCCAUGCCGCCCACAAGCUUUGUGCAGUUACUUGGGCAGCAGCUUGGUCUCCUGAAGGACCCCUCGCAGUGUGGAUUCAGUCUAGAAGCAGGAUAGCCUGUGCUGCUCCCUCACUUGGCAGGGCGGCAGAUGUCCACUGGAGAGGGUCAUGUUGCUGAGAUACGUUCUUUGAGAUGGAAAGCAAGCCCCUUCACGGCAUUAUUCAGAAAGGAACUACAUUAUUGUUUACUCAAUAGAGAACAUCGUCUCCAGUUCAGCUCCUAUCAUCUAUUUGAGAAAUGAUUAUUUUGUGUAAAAAAGUCAUGGUGCUCAAAAGAAUAAAUGCACAGUUUUCUCAUGCAGGGAAUUAAAGUGAAUUACAAGCAAAUCCAUCAACAGGGCAAGGUAUUCCCACUUGUCUCCUACCAUCUCUUUGCAAAAGCCAAAUAAACCAAUUGAAGAUUGUGAAGAUUAUAAAUCACAGAGUAGGAUGGGCCCACUUAGGGUUCUGUUGGGGAUCAACUGAUAGCCCCAUGGAGAAUUUCUACAGCAUUCAGUGGGAUGAUAGAAUUGGAUUAUCUGGAAUGAGCAUGAUACAUUUGAAUACGGCUCCCUAAAAACAUCUUAGAAACUGACCAUCUGCAGAGAGUGUCACCUGACCUUUCCCCUUUUAAUGGCCUUGACUUCGGAUUCCUGUUGAAGCUCAAGGCUGGCACGUGGCAGGCAUUCGAACAAAGCCAAUCUAUCUGCCAAUGAAGCUCAGGGACUGAAUGACUUGUAAACGUGGUUCCAGGUUCCAUUGCAGCUAACAGCUGGAGGGAUGACCGGCUGGGCACCUGUCCUUCCCAGUUCUCUUCUCUCAUAGGUCUCCUGGGAGAUGAAAGCAAGCAAGCAGCCAGCUCCAGCCUUUCCUCUGUCUUUGGAUUCCCAUGCAUCUCGUCACCAUCAUGAUCUGAAACUGCAGCUGUGCCUCGCUCUCCUUUCUGGCUGACUUGCCCCAAGUGCCACCAUGGUGUCUCUGACCCAGACCAGGGGAAAGAUGGUCAUCACUCUGAAUCUCCAAAUUCAUGCAUAUUCAAUACUAUGGAGGAAAUCCGGACAACACAGAGAGAGACACAAGCCGAGGAAUAACCAUGUGAGGACGCAGCAAGGAGGUGGCCAUCUGCAAGCCAAAGAAAGAGAUCUCAGGAGAAACCACAUCUGCUGACACCGUGAUCUGGGACUUCCAGCCGCCAGGACUAGGAGGGAUAAUGUCAACGAGAUACCAUGACGGGUUGAGAAGGAUAAGUGGCAGGAGACAUAACACCAACUAACAAAUACGGAACACCUACUGUGGAGCAGGCAUGUGCUAAGUGCUUUGCAAACCUGAUCUCAGUAAAUGAGAUUGUGGGGACAGUGCACACGGAAGAAUGAUCCAAAACUCCAGGCUGCAGUGUGGUGUUCUUUUAGUUGACUUGUUAGUCUCAACCAAUCAGAGAGACAAUCCUCACGUAGGCAGCUUGUACAAUGAGAGGAGAAGCUUUGCUUGAUCUGGGUUCGAAUCCCAGCUCUGCUCCUUUUCUAAGCUUAUGACCUCAGUCAACGUAGUUCACUUCUCAGAGCUCCAAAUUCUUCGUCUUCAGUGCAGAUGAAUCAUAACCCAUUAUUACAUGAAAUGCUGAAUACGGAGCAUCUC